rnacentral:rRNA from 1 species
AUUGAACGCUGGCGGCAGGCCUAACACAUGCAAGUCGAACGAGUGGCGGACGGGUGAGUAAUGUCUGGGAAACUGCCCGAUGGAGGGGGAUAACUACUGGAAACGGUAGCUAAUACCGCAUACCAUCGGAUGUGCACACAUGCAAUUAGCUAGUAGGUGGGGUAACUGCUCACCUAGGCCACGCUCCCUAGCUGGUCUGAGAGGAUGACCAGCCAGACUGGAACUGAGACACUGUCCAGACUCCUACGGGGGGCAGCAGUGGGGAAUAUUGCACAAUGGGCGCAAGCCUGUUGAAGCCAUGCAGAGUGUAUGAGGAAGGCCUUCGGGUUGUAAAGUACUUUCGGCGAGGAGGCGUUACUCGCAGAAGAAGCACCGGCUAACUCCGUGCCAGCAGCCGCGGUAAUUC